rnacentral:ncRNA from 1 species
CCACGUCCCGACGCAAUCCCCCCCCGGCGCCGGGACCUUCCCAGGGCCGGGCUUCGGCGCCUACCCCCCCCAGGCGCCGGAGCCCGGCCUUUUC